UAUAAUGGACUUAAUGUCAGGGGAAAACCUUUACCCUUUACCUUAACUACCACCAAUUCCUCAAUACUUUAUUUCCCAUACCACCAGACUUCACCACAGCAACACGUGGCCGGGCACAGCUAGUCUAUAUAUAAAAAUGUAAUGUGCGUUUUACUAUGGAGUAAACAACAAAACCACUGAACCAAAUCACACCAAAUUUGGCCACAAGUCAUCCAAAAUAUGUCUUUCAAACAAAACAAAAAAAACCUAGAAAAAUAAAGUCCAAAUUAGAGGACCAGGAAAAGCUGUUUUCCCCCUAGCUGCCAG
rnacentral:lncRNA from 11 species